rnacentral:lncRNA from 1 species
CCAUCCGCAACUCGUGUACGCCAUCACACCUUUGCAUCAUCUGUCAAGUACAUUGGUGUGAUCACCACUUUUUCAUCAUCCGGCACACGUGCAGCUUGGAAAUACUGCUCCAUAUCCCACAAGAAACUUUCCAGUUCCUUUGCACUUCUUGCACCACCAUAAGCCUUAGGCUCCAGAAUCCUCAACUUAGUGCGCUCAUCAUUUCUAGGGGCAGAAUUUUGCAAUGCCCUUCGAAGAUCAGCCACUUCUCGUCGCAACUCUUCCUUCUCUUGGCGUACCAAGGCCAUUUCUGCCAGCGUUGUCUCGUGCCUCGCCGCGUGCGCUCAUCAUUUCUAGGGGCAGAAUUUUGCAAUGCCCUUCGAAGAUCAGCCACUUCCUAGCGUAGUUCUUCUUUCUCUUGGCGUACCAAGGCCAUUUCUGCCAGCAUUGUCUCACGUCUCGUUGCAUAAUCUGCCUCCAAACGUGUCAUUCUAGCAAGAAUAGAAGAAUCGCUACCAACUUCAAGAGCCUGCCCAACUAGUGCUUCCAACUGUUCAACUCUUUGAUACAGUUCCGCGUUUGUGCCACCAGUCAUGUUCUCAAGAAAACCCACGUAUUCUGCCAGUCACCGUCUUGCCACUGCCACGAACCUGCUCCGCUCUGAUACCAGUUGUCACGGGGGCGUUUUUGAUCAAGUCCAAAACCACACCCGCGCGACAGUCAAGUCCCCCGCUUGACUCAGCCUUUCCGAAAUACUUAGCCAAUUUUCAACAAGUUUGGCUUUAACGAAAAUUAGGCAACAAGACAGAAAUUUAAAGAACACAAGCAUAUACGGGACAAAUUCCCAACUUUUGCAUUAAUAUAGAAAAUAUACAAAGGACCCUCACUUGCUAUGAACUAUCAGUCCGCUCACAGCCCACUUUUGACGAAGAACACAAGUCGUUCUUGGCCAACACUAAGAUCUGCCCAAGCUAAACCUUA